rnacentral:rRNA from 1 species
AUUGAACGCUGGCGGCAUGCUUUACACAUGCAAGUCGAACGGUAACAGGCCGCAAGGUGCUGACGAGUGGCGAACGGGUGAGUAAUGCAUCGGAACGUGCCCAGUCGUGGGGGAUAACGCAGCGAAAGCUGCGCUAAUACCGCAUACGAGCUAUGGAGGAAAGCGGGGGACCGUAAGGCCUCGCGCGAUUGGAGCGGCCGAUGUCAGAUUAGGUAGUUGGUGGGGUAAAGGCUCACCAAGCCAACGAUCUGUAGCUGGUCUGAGAGGACGACCAGCCACACUGGGACUGAGACACGGCCCAGACUCCUACGGGAGGCAGCAGUGGGGAAUUUUGGACAAUGGGCGCAAGCCUGAUCCAGCAAUGCCGCGUGCAGGAAGAAGGCCUUCGGGUUGUAAACUGCUUUUGUACGGAACGAAACGGUCCGGGUUAAUACCCUGGGCUAAUGACGGUACCGUAAGAAUAAGCACCGGCUAACUACGUGCCAGCCGCCGCCGUAAUAC